UGUGGUCGGAGGUGGGUGCCUGUUGUCCCAGCUACUGGGUGUGGGUGUGGGCUGAGGCUGGAGGAUUGCUGGAGUCCAGUAGUUCUGGGCUGUAUUGUGCUAUGCUGAUGGGGUGUCUGCACUAAAUUUAGCAUCAAUAUGGUGACCUGCUGGAAGCAGGGGCCAUCAGGUUGCCUAAGGAGGGGUAGAUGGUCCCAGGCUGGACAGAGCAGGUCGAAACUCCUGUGCUGGUUAAUAGUGUGAUCUUGCCUGUGCAUAGCCACUGCACUCCAGCCUGCACAGCAUAGGGAGACCCCGUCU
ensembl:misc_RNA Metazoa_SRP Metazoan signal recognition particle RNA